UCGUCAUGGACCCACUGCCCAGUGAGAAAGGCGUGGACGCGUGUAUUUAGGUCACCUUCCUCAUCUCCGUCCGCCGGCCCAAAAAUCCACCUUCUCCUCUGAUCUCCUUCUCUCCCAAGCCGCCCCCAUGCCGAUUCAGCCCCAACCUGCAGCCUCCUUCUCUCUCAAGCCGCCCCAUGCCGAUUCAGCCCCAACCUGCAGCAAGCAAGGAGCACGGCGGAACUAGAUCGGCCCCAACAGGGCGAGAUCCCCGUGCACCAGAUCUAUCAUCCCCAUCAUUGGAGCAGCCAUGGCCUCCCUGAAUCCUUUUGUCCAUCCAAAGGAUCUGCGCCGACGAGCACAGGGCGAGGUCCUGGUGCACCGGAUCCAACGCCCCCCACUAUAGGAGGAGCCGUGGCAUCCCGUUCGCCAUGCGUUCUGCCCUUCUCCAACAAUGGAUCUGCACCGACGACCCCAUACUGCCCAAGGUCCAUUCUUCCACCAUGCAUCGGCCACUGUCAAGAUCUUGGCGCAUGACAGAGUUACCGUGUGGUGUGGCCGGGGCUUCUUCCACUAUGACCCCUCCUGCCCUAUCUCUUUGGUGGCCCUGAUUCUUCUUCCACUCUGGGAUAGCUCGUGGAUAUGGUACAUCAUCAUCACCGAUGAAGAGGAGAAGGGGUUUAUUGUAUCAAGAAAGGUGUGUGGUGGUAGGCUUGGUCUCCGGCCUCGGCAUCUUCCGUUGGCCCCGGUGCCGUGUGGCUGAGGCGAUGUUGUUUGGCAUCAGCUACAAAAUAGCCAUGCCUCAUUGUUUUGUGAGCCAGAUGUUCCUCUUUAAGCCCUGGAUGGGAAAUCUGUUGCAAGUGCUCAAGGGGUGUUAAGAGCAUAUGCUUCCCAAGGCCAACAUUGUGAUGCAUGUGUUGUUAGUUUAGAAGUGUUUUGGUAUAGCAACACGAGCUGAUAUGUAGUUUGGUCUGUAGUUCAUUGUAUAUGCAAGUUGAAUUGUCCUGACCAUUUUAUGAAACUUAAUUUAGCUUUUUAUUGGAUUGCAGGGUGGUAUGAAUAUGUUGUAUGAUGAAUAAUUUUGAAUUAUGGUUGGUAUAAAUCCAAAUUUGGCAUGUGUUACUA